rnacentral:rRNA from 1 species
CCCGGCGACCGGCGCAUGGGUGAGUAACACGUAUGAAACCUGCCCGUAGCAGGGGGAUAAGCGGAAGAAAUUCCGUCUAAUACCGCGUAACAACCCAUGGAGGCAUCUCUGUGGGUUUAAAGGAAGCGAUUCCGGCUACGGAUGGUCAUGCGUCGCACUAGCUUGUUGGCGGGGUAACGGCCCACCAAGGCGACGAUGCGUAGGGGUUCUGAGAGGAAGGUCCCCCACACUGGUACUGAGACACGGACCAGACUCCUACGGAAGGCAGCAG